AUUAUACUCCCUCCGUCCGAAAAUACUUGUCAUCAAAAUGGACAAAAAAGGAUGUAUCUAAAACUAAAAUACAUCUAGAUACAUCCCUUUUAUCCAUUUUGAUGACAAGUAUUUCCGGACGGAGGGAGUAUAUA
rnacentral:pre_miRNA from 1 species